AUGGCUUCUUCCGUCGCGCCCUCGUCGUGCGCGCUGCCCCUGCAUCCGAGGGUGGCCGCGGCGGCAGGCCCCUCCUGCCGUGUGCUGCUCGCCUUCACGGCGCCCCGCUCGGCCGCGUCGGUGCGCCGGGCGGGGAUCCUCGCGCCGCUCCGGUGCUCGCCGCUCGAGGAUCCCGGCGCCACCGGCAGGGAGGAAGGGAGGAAGGAGGAGGGGGACGCGAGCAAGCGGGUGCGCGGGAGGCCCAUGUGGAGGCGGAUCCUCUUCGCCUCCAAGAAGACCCGCAGCAUCAUGAUUCUCAACGCCCUCACCGUCAUCUACGCAAGUGAUAUUCCAGUUCUGAAAGAGGUUGAAGCCCUCACAGAACCCGCGGUUUUCAACAUGGUGCGCUUCGUUAUCGCAGCCAUCCCCUUCAUACCAUUUGUGAUACGCGCAUUCGGCGAUCGCCGCACACGAAAUGGGGGAUUAGAGCUAGGACUUUGGGUUAGUCUAGCGUACCUUGCUCAAGCAAUUGGGUUGAUCACAUCUGAAGCUGGGCGAGCAUCCUUCAUUGCAGCCUUCACAGUGAUAGUUGUGCCUCUAAUUGAUGGCAUUUUUGGCGCCUCGAUCCCCAUGCUGACUUGGUUCGGGGCCAUAGUAUCAAUUAUAGGGGUUGGCCUGCUAGAAUGUGGUGGCUCUCCUCCUUGUGUUGGUGACGUGCUGAAUUUCUUGAGUGCGGUAUUUUUCGGGAUCCAUAUGCUUAGAACGGAGCAAAUAUCAAGAAGUACAGACAAGAAGAAGUUCAUGGCUCUUCUUAGCUUUGAGGUCCUUGUUGUGGCUUUCACCUCGAUACUCUGGUUUUUGCUCAAAGAUGUCUUUGCUGAGGUCCACGAUUCCAGCUUUGAAUCAUGGACUUUUGGUGCGCUUUGGGAUUCGGCGGCUUCUUUUCCUUGGAUACCAGCACUGUACACUGGAGUCUUUUCAACGGGGUUAUGUAUGUGGGCAGAGAUGGUAGCGAUGGCCCAUGUUUCAGCAACUGAAACGGCAAUCGUCUAUGGGCUAGAACCAGUAUGGGGAGCUGCAUUCGCUUGGUUCCUCUUAGGUGAAAGAUGGGACAAUGCUGCAUGGAUUGGAGCUGCCCUUGUACUAUGUGGAAGCCUUACUGUACAGCUAUUCGGGUCAGCUCCCGAAAAAUCCCAGAAAGUUGAAUCGUGCAGCGGGAAUACAUUUGAAUCCCCACUGAAACGGCAGGACCACUUGUCCCUAUCUGCUAUCCCCGUCGAUUCCAGUAAGAACAUAGGGAGCCAGUUAGAGAGGAAGGAUAAAACAUUGUAG
rnacentral:rRNA from 1 species